rfam:Felis catus isolate Cinnamon breed Abyssinian chromosome C2, whole genome shotgun sequence.
GCUUGAGUGGCUCAGUUGGUUGAGCAUCUGACUUUGGCUCAGGUCAUGAUCUCAUGGUUCACGGGUUCAAGCCUCGUGUUGGGCU